GAUGAACGCUGGCGGCGUGCCUAAUACAUGCAAGUCGAGCGAACAGACGAGGAGCUUGCUCCUCUGACGUUAGCGGCGGACGGGUGAGUAACACGUGGAUAACCUACCUAUAAGACUGGGAUAACUUCGGGAAACCGGAGCUAAUACCGGAUAAUAUAUUGAACCGCAUGGUUCAAUAGUGAAAGACCGUUUUGCUGUCACUUAUAGAUGGAUCCGCGCCGCAUUAGCUAGUUGGUAAGGUAACGGCUUACCAAGGCGACGAUGCGUAGCCGACCUGAGAGGGUGAUCGGCCACACUGGAACUGAGACACGGUCCAGACUCCUACGGGAGGCAGCAGUAGGGAAUCUUCCGCAAUGGGCGAAAGCCUGACGGAGCAACGCCGCGUGAGUGAUGAAGGUCUUCGGAUCGUAAAACUCUGUUAUUAGGGAAGAACAAAUGUGUAAGUAACUAUGCACGUCUUGACGGUACCUAAUCAGAAAGCCACGGCUAACUACGUG
rnacentral:rRNA from 1 species